rnacentral:tRNA from 1 species
GCCGGCGUAGCUCAGCCUGGUCAGAGCGCACGCCUCGUAAGCGUGAGUGCAAGGGAUCAAAGCCCUUCGCCGGCU